CCUUUUGUUCUCUCCUGGAGCUGGGACACUCUUCAUCUCCUGAACUUUGGACAUUAGAAUUCCAUUCUCCCUGGCCUUGAGACUCUGAGACUUACACAAGCAGCCCCACCCAGGUUCUCAGGCCUUCGGACUCACAUUGAGAAUUACACCAUCAGCUUCCCUGGUUCUGAUUCUUUAGAACUUGGACUGAGCCACGCUACUAUCAUCCCAGGGUCUCCAGCUUACAAGUGUCCUGCCAUGGGACUUCUCAGCCUCCAUAAUCAUAUAGAUGAUACCAAAGCGGCCAACGAGUUUAAAACUCUUUUUGCGCAGUAGGAAUGACUCCAUGAAGAUUUCUCAUCAUGGAGCCCAGACUAGAUGGACCCAAAUCUCCAGACUCCCAGCUCUUCUGUAAACCCCAUCCUGAUUCUCUGAGUCUCUGAAUCUUUUAUCCUCAUUUUCUUCCCAACUGUCCAUAAUGUAGAAUUUAAAUAAAAGAUUAAAUGUAAUCUUUA